ACGCUCGACACCUACGGGAAGCAGCAGUGAGGAAUAUUGGUCAAUGGGCGCUAGCCUGAACCAGCCAAGUAGCGUGAAGGAUGAAGGCUCUAUGGGUCGUAAACUUCUUUUAUAUAAGAAUAAAGUGCAGUAUGUAUACUGUUUUGUAUGUAUUAUAUGAAUAAGGAUCGGCUAACUCCGUGCCAGCAGCCGCGGUAAUCUGAGCGGGCUGGCAAGGC
rnacentral:rRNA from 1 species